GUGCAUCACCGGGGCCAAGCUUCCUGCCAUCCAGGACCUCUAUACCAGGUGAUGUCAGAGGAAGGUCCUAAAAAUGGUCAAAGACUCCAGCCACCCUAGUCAUAGAUUGUUCUCUCUGCUACAGCACGGCAAGUGGUACCUGAGCGCCAAGUCUAGGUCCAAGAGGCUUCUAAACAGCUUCUGCUCCCAAGCUAUAAGACUCCUCAACAUCUAAUCAAAUGGCUACCCAGACUGUUUGCAUUACCCCCCAUUUUAUGCUGCUGCUAAUCUCUGUUAUUAUCUAUGCAUAGUCACUUUAAUAACUCUACCUCCAUGUACAUAUUACUUCGACUAACCGUUGCCCCCAUACAUUGACUCUGUACCGGUACCCCUGUAUAUAGACUCUCCAUUGUUAUUUUACUGCUGCUCUUUAAUUACUUGUUACAUUUAUUUCUUACUUUUUUAAGGUAUUUUUCUAAAAAACUGCAUUGUUGGUUAAGCAUUUCACUGUAAGGGGAAUUCGGCGCAUGUGACAAAUAUAUAUUUGUAUAUUUUUUUUGAGGGGGGGGUCUAAUUGUGUUGCUGCCCUGGGGCUCUUUUGGGUCUGUUUGUGUUUGUGAGCAGAGCCCCAGGACCAGCUUGCUUAGGGGACUCUUCUCCAGGUUCAUCUCUCUGUAGGUGAUGGCUUUGUUACGGAAGGUUUGGGAAUCGUUUCCUUUUUUAGGUGGUUAUAGAAUUUAACGGCUCUUUUCUGGAUUUUGAUAAUUAGCGGGUAUCAACCUAAUUCUGCUCUGCAUGCAUUAUUUGGUGUUUUACGUUGUACGUGGAGGAUAUUUUUGCAGAAUUCUGCAUUCAGAGUCUCAAUUUGGUGUUUGUCCUAUUUUGUGAAUUCUUGGUUGGUGAGCGGACCCCAGACCUCACAACCAUAAAGGACAAUAGGUUCUAUAACUGAUUCAAGCUUUUUUUGCCAGAUCCCAAUUGGUAUGUUGAAUUUUAUCUCUCUCUCUCUCUCUCUCUCUCUCUCUCUCGCUCUCUUACACACACACACACACACUCUGUCUCUCUUCUCUCUCUCCACAUCUCUCUAUCCCUCCUCACCCCCCCCCCUCUCUCUCUCUCUCACGCACACACACNNNNNNNNNNCCUCCCCCCCCCCCCCCCUCUCUCUCUCUCUCACGCACACACACUCUGUCUGUCUCUUCUCUCUCUCCACAUCUCUCUAUCCCUCCUCACCUCUUUCUCCCCCCUCUCUCUCUCUAUUUGCAUUAUGUGCGACACUCUGUAGGGGGAAGAUAAGUGGCAAACAUCAAAGCCUGCAACAAGAGAUUGCAGCGUAUCUGAUCACAUUUGAGAAACAUGAAGAAUGGCUGACAACAUCACCCAAGACCAGGUGAGACACACACACACGUGCACACGCAGACACGCACACACAAUAAUUUAUGGUAACACAUGUAGAACUUACACAGUACCUUUACUAUCUAAAAAUGUCAAUGUAAAAUGAUGAAAACCUAGUCAGCUAUAAAUGUUGCAUUAAUGAAUGUAAAUGUAUGAUGAUAAGUGAUGUAUAAUUCAGGUUUUAUGGGGGACGUGUGUGUUUAAGAGAGAGGUUAGCAGGAUUUCACAUCUGAAAUUGAAUAUGUAUAAGCAUAACUGCAAAUUAGUUAUAGGGAGAGAGAGCGGGAGGGAGAGAAAGAUUUUGAAUUUUAAAAUUCCCUUUAUCGGGUCAAGACCCUGCAGUACAUGAACAUUCCAGCCUGUAAGAAAAACAGAAGUUUAAGAGAGAGAGAGAUCUAAAGAGAGAGCGAUAAAGCCAUAUCCUAUUCCCCAUAGACCUGAACCCCAAGACAAUUGUGUAGAUCUGAAGGCAUUGGUUCGGUGUAAAUUCAAUUGAUCAACUUCCAUCAGAGGUUGAGGUGGAGCUAUUACCAUAUAGUGUUUAUCAAUUCAAUCAUAUACCUAGGCCUAGUGGGCAUUAGCUAAGGGUCGAUCUGGGAUUGGGUGACUGUCACACUAGGCUACAUUUGAAUCUAGUUAACAUCUGACUGGAGUUUAGCCUCCAGCCAGCUGCUAGAAGUAUGGUAAUUGGUUAUGACACUCGCAGGCCUAGCAGUCUGAUGGAUGGCAGCUGUAGACAGUCAGUCACAUUAAAUCCACUCAAUUCAGAACCACAAAGAAAUGGAGCCAGAUUAUGGUAGAUUACAGCUAAUCCCACUGGUGUGGGCUGGGGCUUUGGUGAACUAUAGCAUACUCGUAUAGCCAAUUUAUAACCAUUUUAUAGCAGGUUCAUAUCAGCUUUAUAACAGUCUUAUAUCAGGCCCAUAUCAGCUUUAUAACAGUCUUAUAUCAGGCCCAUAUCAGCUUUAUAACAGUCUUAUAUCAGGCCCAUAUCAGAUUUAUAACAGUCUUAUAGCAGCUUUAUAACAGUCAUAUAUAACGCCCAUAUCAGCGUUAUAACAGUCUUAUAUCAGGCCCAUAUCAGCU
rnacentral:lncRNA from 13 species